CAAACUGGAGGUGGCGACCGGCGCACGGGUGAGUAACACGUAUCCAACCUGCCCUUUACUCGGGGAUAGCCUUUCGAAAGAAAGAUUAAUACCCGAUAGCAUAAUGAUUCCGCAUGGUUUCAUUAUUAAAGGAUUCCGGUAAAGGAUGGGGAUGCGUUCCAUUAGGUUGUUGGUGAGGUAACGGCUCACCAAGCCUUCGAUGGAUAGGGGUUCUGAGAGGAAGGUCCCCCACAUUGGAACUGAGACACGGUCCAA
rnacentral:rRNA from 1 species